AAUACAAGGAAAUCAUGGGUACUGAUUCAUCACUGACCAGAAACCAACCAUGGACAGUUUCAGCCUUUUGUGUCUCAUCAGCAUGACUUUUUGGCAAAACUGAAUAGUCCAUGUGUUGUUCCUGGUCCUUGGUUUAGUGAUUGUGUACUAUGUUAAGGUAGAGGUUCAUGUAGGAUUUAAUAUGUAGUGUAAUGUUUUUGGGAAGUAUAGGGGUUAAGGGGAGGACUUUACUGUAAGGACAGCACUGGACCAUACAUUUCAGAGUGCUGUCUAACUGGAUGUCACAGACCCACUGUUUGUUAUGAAUAGACUGACUGUGUUUAGCAAGGAUCCAAGGGAGUUUAACCCCUUACGGACACAUGACAUGUGUGACAUGUCAUGAUUCCCUUUUAUUCCAGAAGUUUGGUCCGUAAGGGGUUAAAUUAAUGUGGGAUCGGCACAAAAAGAGUGAAUUGUGUUUUUGAGUGUGUGUUUACGAGCAUACCGUAAUUUGCACAAGAUCCUGUGGGAAUACAGUCAU